rnacentral:rRNA from 1 species
AACCUACCUUACAUUGGGGGAUAGCCUUUCGAAAGGGAGAUUAAUACCGCAUAAGACAGUAGCUGGGCAUCCAGCAGCUGUUAAAGAUUUACCGAUGUAAGAUGGGCAUGCGUCCAAUUAGUUAGUUGGCGAGGUAACGGCUCACCAAGACUUUGAUUGGUAGGGGAACUGAGAGGUCAAUCCCCCACACUGGCACUGAGAUACGGGCCAGACUCCUACGGGAGGCAGCAGUAGGGAAUAUUGGGCAAUGGACGCAAGUCUGACCCAGCCAUGCCGCGUGCAGGAUGAAGGCGUUAUGCGUUGUAAACUGCUUUUAUACAGGAAGAAACGACUCUUGCGAGAGGCAUUGACGGUACUGUAUGAAUAAGCACCGGUUAACUCCGUGCCAGCAGCCGCGGUAAUACGGAGGGUGCAAGCGUUGUCCGGAUUUAUUGGGUUUAAAGGGUGCGCAGGUGGUUUAUUAAGUCAGUGGUGAAAGACGGUCGCUCAACGAUUGCAGUGCCAUUGAAACUGGUAGACUUGA